UCACUGAGAGUCCAGUGUUUAGGACUCAACACUUCUACUGCUGAGGGUGUGGGUUUGAUCCCUGGUCAGAGAA
rnacentral:tRNA from 1 species